GCGGUAUAACUUCCUCUUCAGGAGAACCCUUGCCUUUACGAAGCACCCUGUUGUUCCUCGGCAGGCCGGCUCUGCCAUGCCGACCGUUAAGAACCUUGCGAUAACUCUGUAUAUCGUCUCUGAGUACUAUCAAUAAGUCA
rnacentral:misc_RNA from 1 species